GGGGGUGAACUGGUUUCGACAGGGAAAUUGAAGCAGAAGUUGCAAGUCGAGCUCCAGAACUCGUUAAAAGCUGGAAAAUAAACAUAUGUGCAGAACCUGCAUAUGCAUUAGCCUAAAACAAGGCUACGUCCUCAAAGUUUUGCUUACGGGCUUUGAUGGAUGUCGGUAGUAGGCUAUCUUCUGUCUUCAUUUCUGAGGAGGACUGGAGUAAAAAGAAACUCAGAAUAGCAUUUGGUGAUGUAUUUCUGUGUAUAAACCAGUAUGUGAAGUUCAAAACAGGAUAAACUUGUAGAUGUUUCUGAUAGAUUUCUCUGGACCCGGGUUCGAUUCCCGGCACCUCCACCA
rnacentral:tmRNA from 1 species